rnacentral:rRNA from 1 species
CUAAUACCGAAUGUGCCCUUCGGGGGAAAGAUUUAUCGCCUUUAGAGCGGCCCGCGUCUGAUUAGCUAGUUGGUGAGGUAAAGGCUCACCAAGGCGACGAUCAGUAGCUGGUCUGAGAGGAUGAUCAGCCACAUUGGGACUGAGACACGGCCCAAACUCCUACGGGAGGCAGCAGUGGGGAAUCUUGCGCAAUGGGCGAAAGCCUGACGCAGCCAUGCCGCGUGAAUGAUGAAGGUCUUAGGAUUGUAAAAUUCUUUCACCGGGGACGAUAAUGACGGUACCCGGAGAAGAAGCCCCGGCUAACUUCGUGCCAGCAGCCGCGGUAAUACGAAGGGGGCUAGCGUUGCUCGGAAUUACUGGGCGUAAAGGGAGCGUAGGCGGACAUUUAAGUCAGGGGUGAAAUCCCGGGGCUCAACCUCGGAAUUGCCUUUGAUACUGGGUGUCUUGAGUAUGAGAGAGGUGUGUGGAACUCCGAGUGUAGAGGUGAAAUUCGUAGAUAU